GACGAACGCUGGCGGCGUGCCUAAUACAUGCAAGUAGAACGCUGAAGAGAGGAGCUUGCUCUUCUUGGAUGAGUUGCGAACGGGUGAGUAACGCGUAGGUAACCUGCCUUGUAGCGGGGGAUAACUAUUGGAAACGAUAGCUAAUACCGCAUAACAAUGGAUGACCCAUGUCAUUUAUUUGAAAGGGGCAAAUGCUCCACUACAAGAUGGACCUGCGUUGUAUUAGCUAGUAGGUGAGGUAACGGCUCACCUAGGCGACGAUACAUAGCCGACCUGAGAGGGUGAUCGGCCACACUGGGAAUGAGACACGGCCCAGACUCCUACGGGAGGCAGCAGUAGGGAAUCUUCGGCAAUGGGGGCCACCCUGACCGAGCAACGCCGCAUGAGUGAAGAAGGUUUUCGGAUCGUAAAGCUCUGUUGUAAGUCAAGGACGAGUGUGAGAGUAGAAAGUUCACACUGUGACGGUAGCUUACCAGAAAGGGACGGCUAACUACGUG
rnacentral:rRNA from 1 species